rnacentral:lncRNA from 1 species
GCUGCUUCAGACUGUGUCUAUUCUAGGAAGGCUGACACAUGAUGAGAAGAUUCAGUGGUUCUGAGGUACAGUACUUAAGAUAACCCUGUGAAGGCUGAGAUUGGUAUUUGAAAUUCACAACUGAUCUUGGAGCCUGGUGCAGCAGUCAUGGAUAUGUUCAUGUGUGGAUGCGAUGGAACUGAGGUCACUAGGUUCAUGCUACCUGGAGCAUGAGGCUGACAAAUAGAGAAGCACUGAGUCAAAUGAAUCUUGGAAAAAUGGAGCUAGAAGAAAACCAGAGUCUAUCUGUUCUACUGGUUGUAUUCUCCUUGAAGGCAGAAAUGAUGUCUGAUUGAUUUCUGAGGAGCAUGAAAGAA